AUUGAACGCUGGCGGCAGGCCUAACACAUGCAAGUCGAGCGGAGCGGCGGACGGGCGAGUAAUGCCUAGGAAUCUGCCCGGUCGUGGGGGAUAACGUCACGAAACGGACGCUAAUCACGCAUACUAUCAGAUGGGUCUAGGUCGGUUUAGCUAGUUGGUGGGGUAAAGGCCUACCUAGGCGGCGAUCCUUAGCUGGUCUGAGAGGAUGAUCAGUCACACGGGAACUGAGACACUGUCCAGACUCCUACGGGAGGCAGCAGUGGGGAAUAUUGGACAAUGGGCGAAAGCCUGAUCCAGCCAUUCCGCGUGUGUGAAGAAGGUCUUCGGAUUGUAAAGCACUUUAAGUUGGGAGGCGUUACCUACAGAAUAAGCACCGGCUAACUUCGUGCCAGCAGCCGCGGUAAUAC
rnacentral:rRNA from 1 species